rnacentral:rRNA from 1 species
AUUCCAGCUCCAGUAGCGUAUAUUAAAGUUGUUGCAGUUAAAAAGCUCGUAGUUGGAUUUCUGGCUUGAGACGCCUGAGCCGCCAGGGUUACCUGUGUGAGUCUCGGUGUGUCUCUGCCAUCCUUCUGGAUAGCGUGUCUACCUUUUAUUAGGCCGGGCUCGUGCUCCAGAUCUUUUACUUUGAAAAAAUUAGAGUGUUUAAAGCAAGCUUGCGCUAUGAAUACAUUAGCAUGGAAUAAUAACUUAGGACUUUGGUUCUAUUUUGUUGGUUUCUAGGACUGAAGUAAUGAUUGAUAGGGAUAGUUGGGGGUGCUAGUAUUCAGCGGCCAGAGGUGAAAUUCUUGGAUUCGCUGAAGACUAACAUAUGCGAAAGCAUUCACCAAGGAUGUCUUCAUCG